rnacentral:rRNA from 1 species
ACGCACGCUGGCGGCAUGCCUAACACAUGCCAGUCGAACGAGACCUUCGGGUCUAGUGGCGCACGGGUGCGUAACGCGUGGGAAUCUGCCCUUGGGUUCGGAAUAACAGUUGGAAACGACUGCUAAUACCGGAUGAUGACGUAAGUCCAAAGAUUUAUCGCCCAGGGAUGAGCCCGCGUAGGAUUAGCUAGUUGGUGGGGUAAAGGCCUACCAAGGCGACGAUCCUUAGCUGGUCUGAGAGGAUGAUCAGCCACACUGGGACUGAGACACGGCCCAGACUCCUACGGGAGGCAGCAGUGGGGAAUAUUGGACAAUGGGCGAAAGCCUGAUCCAGCAAUGCCGCGUGAGUGAUGAAGGCCUUAGGGUUGUAAAGCUCUUUUACCCGGGAUGAUAAUGACAGUACCGGGAGAAUAAGCCCCGGCUAACUCCGUG